CCUUGCAGUGUUUGAUCCUGUGUGACAUUCUGGGCCUGCUUUUCCUCAUGGAUCAUACCAACUGCCUUUCUAAUCAGGCAAGUCAACCGCGGUGGCAACAAUGACUGUCUCUUUCUGGGUCGGAUACCAAGAAGAGGUUACCCCCUGAGCAUAGUACACACAUCUGGAAGAAUUAAAUUCAUAAUGGACUCAGGAUCCUGACCUGGUCCAAACGGAUACUG